rnacentral:lncRNA from 1 species
GCUCAAAUAGUGCCUAAGCAUUGAUCAGGACAGGCGCGGGUUCUGUGAGUCCAAGCACAGGAAACACCGCACACUCAGUCACUCCUGAGCUUCCAAGCCUGCUUCUGUGGGAGUGGAAAGACUGAGGCCAAGAGUAAGCUGUGGCCUUGUAGACAGUGAUUUUUUUUUUUUUUUUUUUUUGGAAGCCAGAGGCGAGGUGGGCAGACAUUUGGAACCUGGAUCAGGCUGGGGCUUUCUAAAAGUAGCCAGGGCCUGCUAAACACACCAGAGAGGGAACAGAGGCAGAGCCAGCUGCUUUUAAGUUAUUGCUCAGGGACCAGGUGCUGUGGCUUGGACGAGGUGCUGGUGGCUUUGUGUGACUGCUGCCUGGGGUGACUUUAGCCACAGUCACUUGGGGUCCUGUUAAAGUAAAUAAUUGUGAUUGGGAGAGAGAGCGAGUGAGUUUCCACCCAGCACCCAUGGGAAGCAAGAAAGAAACAGAAAGAGAUGCUCAGCUCAGCCAAUGGGCAAGCUGUUGUCAGGCUUGACUGGUUCGGCCAGUCAUCUAGAGGCCCUAGGAAAGGAGAGGCCCUUUUCUCAAACCAGCUUAGAGAACAUCCUUGAGAGUUCUGGGCUUUCUCUCUCUUUGGGGACUCAUAUUUGACAAAGGCGCCACUCAGGAGCUGUCAGUUGACUCAAGGAAUUGGGAAAGAGGGUGUGAGGGGUGGUGGGGGUGGGGAUGGUGGGGGUGGAGGGGUGUGCCUGGCAAAUGGUGUUCUCCUCCCUCCCUCAGUGAGGACUCUGCAGUCAGCCCAUUUCUUUCACUCUGUCUUCCCCAGGUCUCCAUUCGGCCUCCAUCCCUGCCAGCACAGCAGAGGUACCAAACCCCUGUAGGUCAUGGUUGCCAGAAGUGCCUGUGACAGAAGAGACCAAAGCAAAGCAUGGCUUUUCACAUGGCAGAAGACAGCCCAGCAUCUGAACAACUCUUCCAUUCAGAUGG